AAUGAAUUUGACGGGGGGCCCGCACAAAGCGGUGGAGCCAUGUGGGUUUUAAUUCCGAAGCAAACGCGGAAGGAACCUUACCCUGGCCCUUGACCAUGCUGAGGAACUUUCCAGAAGGUGGAUUGGGUGCCUCCGGGAAGCUUCAUAAAACAAGGUGCCUGGCAUGGCUGUCGUUCAGCUCCGUUGUCGUGAGGAUGUUGGGUUAAGUCCCCGUAACGGAGCCGGCAACCCCUUGUUCCUUAGUUACCAGCACCUCGGGGUGGGGCACUCUUAAGGAGGCCUGCCGGUGACAAACCGGGAGGAAGGUGGGGAUGACGUCAAGUCAUCAUGGCCCUUACGGCCAGGGCUACACACGUGCUACAAUGGUCGGUACAAAGGGUUGCCAAGCCGCGAGGUGGAGCUAAUCCCAUAAAACCGAUCGUAGUCCGGAUCGCAGUCUGCAACUCACUGCGUGAAGUCGGAAUCGCUAGUAAUCGUGAAUCAGAAUGUCACGGUGAAUACGUUCCCGGGCCUUGUACACACCGCCCGUCACACCAUGGGAGUGGGUUGCUCCAGAAGUAGCUAGUCUAACC
rnacentral:rRNA from 1 species